CCAACCCGGUUCAUAUCGGGCCGUUCGGUAUUGGCCGAGGAUCGCCGCCUUUACCCAGCGUUACUUAACUGCGCCGAUUAGGGCGGUCGACGGCUGGCGAGAAUAUUAGCUAUCGGACAGCCACGAAGAUGUGGACUCCGGCCGCGACGAAGCCCUAACUAGGGAAGCUCUUCCGCUUGUUAAGGUCCUGAUAGAGGGGAUUUGAUGCCAUGAGGAGCAAGGUGGAAACGCUCACUCAAAAUGUUUUCCCUGAACUUACCCUCUCCGUCCUUACGCUCUUGAAGGGAAAAAAAAGGGAGACUUUUUUUGUUAUACAAGGGAAUGUCGCAUCUGAGAAAACAGUAAGCAUUGGUGAGAAGGAGAAAGAUUAGAUGCAAGAGGAGGAGGAUCUGUUGAAGUAUCCCCCAAAUCCUGAUAUGUUUGUCAGCAAGUUGACACGGUCUGCCCAGAUUACAUGGCUCGAUGAAUGGAUUCUAUGACAAUUAGAACAUUACCUCUAGAAGAGAAGGGAGACAGCAAUACUACUAAUUUCAUGAAUUUAAGAAGCACGAGGACUGGAUCUUGUUUAGACUGAGACCAAAUCAAAGCCAUAAGCACGCCUCCGUUAUGUUUACAUCAGUCUGGUGCAUUUUGUGCUGAUUGUUGUGAAGAAGAAGCCUCCCACCUUUGGACAAUGUUGGGCCACCUUAGUAUAUGCUAUUUAGUGGUCCAGACUAACUCAGGAGAGCAAUGGGAACCGGUCAUGCGGUCAAGCCUUAUCUCAAUUGUUCGGAAUCAGUUCUAUUCAAUAAUUCUGCUACAAAUCGCAAUGGAUGCACCCCAAGCAAGGAAGAUCAAAGCAAGCGCUUGCAAACCAAUCCAAAAAUUGGUUGGGAAGUUUUUAUCUCAUUACAAUAGCAGAGGAGAAUUAUGUCAUGGUAAUGCUUCGACUGUUGCAUGUUCGGUAGCUCAAAGCACAACUGACAUGGAAAAGAUGUCAAGAUGCAAUUCCUUGGCAGAUAUACGCCACUAGGGCAAACGUUGUUUUGAGCUCAGCGGAGUUUAUUAUGGUUGUGCCAGUGCUUUGUGUUUAUGAUAAGAGGAUUGGCUAGAUCUUUCUUUCUAAUUUCUUUCUUUCUUGAUAUGUGGUGAAAAAUACCACCAUGUUAGUUUGAGUCAUAUUGGCUGUGUAGUAAUUGUCAUGUUGUAAUUAUUCGUUCACAUUCAUGAAUAUCAAUGUUCUAUGAUUAUAUGGUUGUCUUGUAGUAUUUAGUUGUUUGAUAAGAUUCUUUUGUCAUGUAGCAUCUCAUGGUCCCAACAUUGAGGUCCUACAUUCUGGAAUGAUUAUUAAAGUCCAUUUUUCUUUUAUUGCUCGGCUUUGCUGGUUUUAUUAAGACAAACAAACAAAGGACCCGUAGUGCAAUGCAUGAGAAGGGAGAAUGAUUGAGAAAGAGGUUGGUGGAGUGCCCUCCACUCUUAUCUCAAGCCCUUUAACUUUGGCAAAGGCAAAAUUGGAUCCUAGGAUCUUUGAUGUAGCCACUAAAAUAUUUUACCAAUAAGCUAGCUGGCAAAUUCCUCUUUUGCCUAGUUUCUAUCAAAAUGAUCCCUGUUUAGGAGCAUAAAUAGUGGAUUGCACUUCAUGUUUUAUUGUUUCGACAAUGUCUUAAUUAAAAUGUCCGGACCACAUGGAAGCCGACAUGGAUAGAAGUAGAUUGUUUAAGCUUGAUUUCGUCUACUUGAAUUCAAGUGUAAUAUUUUUUACCUUUGUAUGCACAAAAAGCAUGUACCAUUGACUAAUGGAUUCCACGUGGGAGUUUUCCUUACACAAGGGGAAUAAUAAUGUUAAGAAUGGCAGUUCUAUGCUUGCUUCUACACCUA